rnacentral:rRNA from 1 species
AUUGAACGCUGGCGGCAGGCCUAACACAUGCAAGUCGAACGGUAACAGGAAGACGCUUGCUUCUUUGCUGACGAGUGGCGGACGGGUGAGUAAUGUCUGGGAAACUGCCUGAUGGAGGGGGAUAACUACUGGAAACGGUAGCUAAUACCGCAUAACGUCGCAAGACCAAAGAGGGGGACCUUCGGGCCUCUUGCCAUCGGAUGUGCCCAGAUGGGAUUAGCUAGUAGGUGGGGUAACGGCUCACCUAGUCGACGAUCCCUAGCUGGUCUGAGAGGAUGACCAGCCACACUGGAACUGAGACACGGUCCAGACUCCUACGGGAGGCAGCAGUGGGGAAUAUUGCACAAUGGGCGCAAGCCUGAUGCAGCCAUGCCGCGUGUAUGAAGAAGGCCUUCGGGUUGUAAAGUACUUUCAGCGGGGAGGAAGGGAGUAAAGUUAAUACCUUUGCUCAUUGACGUUACCCGCAGAAGAAGCACCGGCUAACUCCGUG